rnacentral:lncRNA from 1 species
GAUCUCUGACCUGCGUUCUUAGCUGGGACGUCGAGUUCUCCCAGGAUAAUUAUCGACCAGCUGCCAUGUAAGACGUGCCUUUCAGCUUCCACCAUGAUUGUGAGGUCUCUCCAGCCACAUGUAACUGAAGGAGUAGCCACUAUUCAUGCCAUUGUCAAAACCUCAUGGCAACAAAACUUCCAGGGCUGGAAUUGCAAAGAUGAUUACAAAGGGGAGCUCCACAAUCAGGUGAUCCAGCAUUGAUAAGGUGUUCCAAGAUAAUGAAUACUUCCAUAGCAACAAAAGUCUGACAAUAAACGGUUACCUUGAUUUUCACAUUUUCAAAGAAAAAUCCCUCAAUGGCAACUAGACCAGAAGUCUCAACACUGAAUAUGCAAUAAUGGCUACAAGUUACAGGAUAUCAAAGUGGAGUGUGAACCAGCCAGGAGGAGAACGAAUAACACCCAAAGACAAAAAAGGACUUGUUGUCUUUUCUGGGGAAAGGUGAAGAAAGGAACAAGGUGUUCAGCUAAUAACGUGGUUUGGGAAGGGAGUUUGAAAAGAGAAGAUAAAGAAAUACUCAUCUAGGAGAGUAGGAGUGUGGAUGGACUAGAAAAAAGAAAAAGAAAUUCUUGGUCCCCAACAUGGAAAUCCAAGAUGCAAGGAAAUCAUAGGCUCUGAAUCACCUGGGGAAGAAACCGCUGCAGACCAAAUUGCAUCUUAGAUCCAUUAAAUCAGAAACUUGGAUUGCUGGAUUCAGGAUUCUUGAUUGAAAAUAACUGAAAGACAGUUCCGACUAACUUAAAAAAAUAACUCGGAAGUUCAAGGGAUGACCAUACAGGUACAGCUGAAUUCAGGGGCUCCAGUGAUGGCAUCAGCCUACGUCUCUCCUACCAUCUCUCACCUCUGCCACCUUCUGUGUUCGCUUCCUUCUCAAACAUUUAUUUUUUAUGAGACGAUCCGAGGGAUGAGCAGCUCAGGUUUAAAUUUUGCUAGUGUAACAAUUCAUGGACAUUUUUUUCCCCAGUAGCUCUAGCAAAAGUUUCAGAAUUCCUUGAGCUGUUCUCAUGCCCAGAUUUGAAGCAAUCACAGUAGCUAGAAUGUGAACACAUCCAAAAGGCCAGUCCUAUGACAUGUAUGCUUGCCUGUGGGCGAAACCCAAUGCAGCAUAUGAAUUGAGAGUGGAGUGGUCAAGUCCUCAACAGGUAAGAAAGAAUGCUGGACAAGAAGAAAAAAAAAAGGACUUUACAAUGUUUGUGUCUUAAUCAGACUGUGACUUAUCAAAUGCAAGGGCUACAUCUAAUAAUAUCUAUUCCUUGAAUAAUACCCAAAACAGUGCUAUAUAUAAAAGCUCAUAAAUAAACUCAUAUUUACACAUUUUCUAGCUUCCUCGAUUUAGUGUAUUAAAAGUGGCCUUUAUCUAGAUCAAAAGAUACAUUGCUUUCCCUUAAUAAGUUGCUGUUUAAAUUACACUAACAUCCUUGAGUAAAAGUCAUGUAUAAGGCACUAUACUCAGUAUUGUAAUGCAUAUUAUUUCAUGUGAUAAUUAGUCCAAUCUUGCGGGUAACUAUUGUUAUUUAUUUCUUCAAAGGAGGAAACUGAGGUUCAGAGGGUUAAGUAAUUUGCUCAAAGUUUCACAGUUAAUAAAUGAUGAAGCUUGAGAAGCUGUUUGAUUCUAAUACAGAAUUAUUUCCGCUAGACUGGAGGUGGACAUUUAGAGACCACAGACUUGUUUGGACAGAAAAAUAUGUUAAAAUAUUGAAUUGACAUACUUUCAGGAGCAUCAUGUAAUCACCUAUUUAUGAUAAAAACCAAUCUCCGUUGACUUACCACUGACUUUAUCAUACAUUUAUGAUACCUGCAUGGUGUCCAGAAGCUUUUGAGUUUGGGCCCAGCACAAGAGCACACUGGAAUUUAGAGAAAGAAGAAAUUAUUUGUGCUCUGUUGUCUUGCAUGAGUGUGAUUUUCUUGCUAAAAGUACAAUAAUUACACACUUUUGAAAAUUCCAUCUGAAUUGCAUAGUAUUGAUGCAGUCACUGACAAAAAGAAAAAUAUAACAAAAUACAGAAGAAAAAAGAUAAAUGUAUAUGAUAAAAGUGGCAUUCUAAUCAGUAGGAAAGGAUUAACUAUUCAAUAAAUAGUGUUAUCACAACCUGAUGAUACAUUUUGGGGAAAAAAACUAAAUUAGAUUCUGCUUCACACUAUAUGCAAAAGUAAACUCGAAAAGUACUAAGAUACUAAAAGAAAAUAUUGAAAAGAUAUUGUUAUAAUUUGAGGAUGGGGAAAAUCUUUGUAAGGAAGUCAUGAAAGAGCUAUAAAAAAAAAAGACUGGAAUAUUUGCCUAGAUAAAACAAGGAGCUUUCAUUUGUUGGAAAGCAUUACAACCCUAUAACAAACUAUAGCACACAAAGAGUGCUUGUAAAACUGGUGAAAUCAGAAUUAGCUAUGUGGAAGGUACCAAUGUCAAUUUCUUGAUUUUGAUAGUGUUACCUUAGUUACGCAAGAUGUUACCACUGGUGGAAGCUGGGUGAAGGGAGCACAGUAUCUCUGUGUAUUUUGUGGCACAGUUUACUGUGUAUCUGUAAUUGUUUCAAAAUAAAAAGUUAAAAAAU